AUGGAGAGUUUGAUCCUGGCUCAGGACGAACGCUGGCGGCGUGCUUAACACAUGCAAGUCGAACGGAAAGGCCCUGCUUUUGUGGGGUGCUCGAGUGGCGAACGGGUGAGUAACACGUGAGUAACCUGCCCUUGACUUUGGGAUAACUUCAGGAAACUGGGGCUAAUACCGGAUAGGAGCUCCUGCUGCAUGGUGGGGGUUGGAAAGUUUCGGCGGUUGGGGAUGGACUCGCGGCUUAUCAGCUUGUUGGUGGGGUAGUGGCUUACCAAGGCUUUGACGGGUAGCCGGCCUGAGAGGGUGACCGGCCACAUUGGGACUGAGAUACGGCCCAGACUCCUACGGGAGGCAGCAGUGGGGAAUAUUGCACAAUGGGCGCAAGCCUGAUGCAGCGACGCCGCGUGAGGGAUGACGGCCUUCGGGUUGUAAACCUCUUUCGACAGGGACGAAGCUUUGGUGACGGUACCUGUAUAAGAAGCACCGGCUAACUACGUGCCAGCAGCCGCGGUAAUACGUAGGGUGCAAG
rnacentral:rRNA from 1 species